rnacentral:rRNA from 1 species
UACGUAGGUGGCAAGCGUUGUCCGGAUUUAUUGGGUUUAAAGGGUGCGUAGGCGGCCCUGUAAGUCGGUGCUGAAAUAUCCCGGCUUAACCGGGAGGGUGGCAUUGAUACUGCGGGGCUAGAGUACAGAUGAGGUAGGCGGAAUUGACGGUGUAGCGGUGAAAUGCUUAGAUAUCGUCAAGAACACCUAUAGCGAAGGCAGCUUACUAGGCUGUAACUGACGCUGAGGCACGAAAGUGUGGGGAUCAAACAGG